rnacentral:misc_RNA from 1 species
AAGUCGUAACAAGGUAACCGUAGGUGAACCUGCGGUUGGAUCAUUAUUGAUUUAACUUUGAUCUGAAGGUAGAGACUUUUCAACUUUAACACUGACUUUGUCAAGGUUAUCGUUUGUUUAGACUCCUUUCAGGUUAAAUUAACACCGUGUGAACUGUAUUGUAUUCAAAUCAUAUAGUAUUAGCGUACUAUUGAUUUGGAAGUAAAUAUUUUGUUUUAGAAAUUUUUAAAUUUUUAAUUCAAAAUAUUUAUAACAAACCCCUUUAACAUUUGCCUUAGAAAUUUUUGUAAAAAGAAAUUAAAACAACUUUUGACAACGGAUCUCUAGGCUCUC